GGCGAACGGGUGAGUAACGCGUGGGUAACGUACCCCAGGCUCGAGGAUAGCCAGCCGAAAGGUUGGGUAAUACUCGAUAAUGUCAAUUUGGGACAUCCCGGAUUGACCAAAGGUGGCCUCUCCUUGGAAGCUAUCGGUUUGGGAUCGGCCCGCGUCGUAUCAGCUUGUUGGUAGGGUAACGGCCUACCAAGGCUAAGACGCGUAGCUGGUCUGAGAGGACGACCAGUCACAUCGGGACUGAGACACUGCCCGGACCUCCACGGAGGGCUGCAGCAACGAAUAUUCCGCAAUGUGCGAAAGCAUGACGGAGCGACGCCGCGUGUGGGACGAAGCCCUUCGGGGUGUAAACCACUGUCAGGGGGAACCAAGCAAUGAGGGUGAAUAAUCCUCGGCGUUGAGGGAUCCCAAAGGAAGCCACGGCUAACUCCGUGCCAGCAGCCGCGGUAAGACGGAGGUGGCAAGCGUUGCUCGGAAUCACUGGGCUUAAAGGGUGCGUAGGCGGCCUUUCAAGCAUCUUGUGAAAGCCCUUGGCUUA
rnacentral:rRNA from 1 species